rnacentral:rRNA from 1 species
GACGAACGCUGGCGGCGUGCUUAACACAUGCAAGUCGAACGGAAAGGCCCGGCUUUUGUGGGGUGCUCGAGUGGCGAACGGGGGAGUAACACGUGAGUAACCUGCCCUUGACUUUGGGAUAACUUCAGGAAACUGGGGCUAAUACCGGAUAGGAGCUCCUGCUGCAUGGUGGGGGUUGGAAAGUUUCGGCGGUUGGGGAUGGACUCGUGGCUUAUCAGCUUGUUGGUGGGGUAGUGGCUUACCAAGGCUUUGACGGGUAGCCGGCCUGAGAGGGUGACCGGCCACAUUGGGCCUGGGAUACGGCCCGGACUCCUACGGGAGGCAGCAGUGGGGGAUAUUGCGCGAUGGGCGGAAGCCUGAUGCAGCAACGCCGCGUGCGGGAUGACGGCCUUCGGGUUGUAAACCGCUUUCGCCUGUGACGAAGCGUGAGUGACGGUAAUGGGUAAAGAAGCACCGGCUAACUACGUG